rnacentral:sRNA from 1 species
AUGCCAGGUUCAAAAGUCAAAUUCCACGUUGUGCUUGCACAUAAGUAGAAUUUGACUUUAUGAACCGCCCCAAAAUGAGGAUAAAAGUGGGGCGUCAGCCUCACGAUAUCCGAAUUUGGGACAGGAUUGUGAAAGCACAAAGUGCGGAACAAUCCGUAG